rnacentral:rRNA from 1 species
CGGCGUGCGUAAAACAUGCAAGUCGUACGGCCUCUUCGGAGGCAGUGGCAGACGGCUGAGUAACGCGUGGGAACCUGCCCCGGGGUGGGGGACAACCGUCCGAAAGGAUGGCUAAUACCGCAUCCGGUCGCUCGUAAGAGCGAAGAAAGCCGCAAGGCGCCCUGGGAGGGGCCCGCGUCCGAUUAGCUGGUUGGUGGGGUAACGGCCUACCAAGGCGACGAUCGGUAGCUGGUCUGAGAGGAUGAUCAGCCAGACUGGGACUGGGACACGGCCCAGACUCCUACGGGAGGCAGCAGUUAGGAAUUUUGGGCAAUGGCCGCAAGGCUGACCCAGCAACGCCGCGUGGGGGACGAAGGCUCUCGGGUCGUAAACCCCUUUUCCCAGGGACGAUGAUGACGGUACCUGGGGAAUAAGCCCCGGCUAACUACGUGCCAGCAGCCGCAGUAACAC